CACAUUGGUGGAAGUCAAAGA
rnacentral:miRNA from 1 species